rnacentral:lncRNA from 1 species
GUAAGGACUUGAGGUGGGACUGUACGGAGCAAAGGAAGAGUUGAAGAAGAAAGAUGUUCUAGAAGCCUGGAAAAUUCAAUAAGAGUCAAUCAAAUUUAGAUUUGAUUUUAGAUUUUAGAUUCAGAAUUUGGAAACUAUUGUUGGGUCUGGUUUCUCGACAUCUCUACCGAGGAGCCUGUGUCAAAGCAAUUCAUUCAUUCAACAGAUUGAGGACUCCAAUGUAUGUAAUUCUUCCUUAAACCUUAAAAUCAUGUAGUCAUUACUCACAUGUGACAUAUGAAGUUGAGUCCCAGAACACUUAUAUUGUCCAGAGUUAGGGCAGGAUCUCCGCAUGGUCAAAACCCACUCCGAGCUUGUCUCACUGGGCUGAGCACUGAGUGAAACAGGCUUUCUGACAGAGCUGGAGGGGAUGCCAGGAUCCCUGGGCCCCAUCCCCAGCCUUCCAGUCAUGUGAGCUCAUACAGCUGACCUUAGUUAGGUGGGCAUUUGUGUGGUUCUUAAAGUCUCUAGAGAACAUUCGCGUGGGCCAGAGCACUGCUGCCUGCUUUCCCAAGCACUAUCCAUCGCACAAUUGAGAAAUCCCUUAAGGCUAGGAUUACUGAGUUACCUCCCCAGCUAGCAUCUGAAUCCAUUUCUGAGCAUGGACUCGUCCCAUGGUGGUUGGGACAGGUGGGAGCUGGGAAAAAUCAUCAGCCGAAUGAAGAGAUUGCCAGGAGAGCCAGCUCUAGGACCACCACCCAGCUGCUGUCAACUGGGGACCCCAGAAGGACUUCCCAGGACCCAUUUCAUCCCCUCACUGUUUACACCCAAGCUCCAUGUGCUGUCUAGGUCCAGAAUGAAAGGGGUGUGAGUACCUCAAAGUUAAAAGAAACAGGACAAUGAACAGUGAGUGAUACUCAAACUAUUUCUGAAUUGCUCCUGCCGUUAAAAAUAAAGAAGAAAAAAGAAAAAAUCAAGGAGCCAAUUUUGAAAUGGGAGAAACAUUCCAAAUGAGAUGUGAGCUUUUCCUGGACAUCUCUUUUGGAUCCUUGUGUAUGCAAUAACCAGCAGCAAAAAUUAACAAAACGUUAAUUGAGAAUGUGCAGUAUGAUCUGCUGAAUAAGAAAUAUAUGGUAUUUCAUAGGUG